CCACAUCAAUGGAGGCAGCAGGCGCGCAAUUACCCAAUCCUGACUCAGGGAGGUAGUGACAAGAAAUAACAAUAAACCGGCUUAUGCCGGUUUAAUUGGAAUGAGUACAAUUUAAACAUCUUAACGAGGAACAAUUGGAGGGCAAGUCUGGUGCCAGCAGCCGCGGUAAUUCCAGCUCCAAUAGCGUAUACUAAAGUUGUUGCAGUUAAAAAGCUCGUAGUUGGAUUUCUGUGGGGACGGAGCGGCCGGCCGCAACACGCGGUUCGAGCUAGCGCUUUCCCUACAUCCUGCCGCGAACCGUGCUACCAUUAGUUUGGUGGCGCCGGGGAUCGGCUCGAUUACUUUGAGAAAAAUAGAGUGUUCAAAGCAGGCCACACGCCUUGAAUAAGUUAGCAUGGAAUAAUAACUAAGGACUUCGGUUCUAUUUUGUUGGUGUUCGGGACUGAAGUAAUGAUUGAUAGGGACAGUUGGGGCGGUCUGUAUUCCAAAGCGAGAGGUGAAAUUCUUAGACCUUCGGAAGACAAACAGCUGCGAAAGCGUUCCGCAAGGAUGUUCCCUUUGAUCAAGAACGAAAGUCGGGGGAUCGAAGACGAUCAGAUACCGUCGUAGUCUCAACUAUAAACUAUACCAGCUAGGGAUCGGCCAACGUUAUUCUAUACCGACUUGGUCGGCACCUUAUGAGAAAUCAAAGCAUCUGGGUUCCGGGGGGAGUAUGGUCGCAAGGCUGAAACUUAAAGGAAUUGACGGAAGGGCACCACCAGCCGUGGAGCCUGUGGCUUAAUUUGACUCAACACGGGAAAACUUACCAGGUCCAGACAUAGUAAGGAUUGACAGAUUGAUAGCUCUUUCUUGAUUCUGUGGGUGGUGGUGCAUGGCCGUUCUUAGUUGGUGGAGUGAUUUGUCUGGUUAAUUCCGUUAACGAACGAGACCCCAGCCUGCUAAAUAGCGCGCGUGAGCUUUGCUCGCGGCGAGCUUCUUAGAGGGACUAUGAUGCGCGAUAGCACAUGGAAGUUUGGGGCAAUAACAGGUCUGUGAUGCCCUUAGAUGUUCUGGGCCGCACACGGGCUACACUGGCGCCUGCAACGAGCAUAUCAGCUGGCCCGAGAGGGUCUUGGCUAAUCUUUUGAACCGGCGCCGUGCUUGGGAUUGACCUUUGCAAUUGUUGGUCAUGCAACGAGGAAUGCCUUGUAAACGCGAGUCAUCAGCUCGCAUUGAAUACGUCCCUGCCCUUUGUACACACCGCCCGUCGCUCCUACCGAUGAAUGUUCCGAUGAAAUUUUCGGAGAGUGCCUGUGAACUUGGCUCUGCCUUGCGAACGGGAAGCUCAAAGUCACUUAAAUCUGAACCCU
rnacentral:rRNA from 1 species